CUGAAGAGGGUAUUCCGCCCUAUUGGUCUUCGGGAUUAUGGUCGAAGUAAAGUAGAUGAAGACUCAACAGCCAUUUUCCUGAUUGACCGAAGAGGGUACUCCGCCCUAUUGGUCUUCGGGAUUAUGGUCGAAGCAGAGUAGAUGAAGACCCAACAGCCAUUUUCCUGAUUGACCGAAGAGGGUAUUCCGCCCUAUUGGUCUUCGGGAUUAUGGUCGAAGCAGACCCAGAAGCCACACUCCUGAGAAUCCACUGAGGGCACACCGCACUGUGGAUACUUAUCUUCGGGGAAAUCCAUCUAAAGUUGCAGCUUCAGAUGGAAAGCAGCUGAGGAGUCCGAAAAAGCCGUUGCAGUACUUCAGCAGAAGCAGAGCUCGUGGACAUUGCAUACAGAUGGAUAUUCUAUUUCGG
rnacentral:lncRNA from 1 species